AUUGAACGCUGGCGGCAGGCCUAACACAAGCAAGUCGAGCGGCAGCGGGAAAGUAGCUUGCUACUUUUGCCGGCGAGCGGCGGACGGGUGAGUAAUGCCUGGGAAAUUGCCCAGUCGAGGGGGAUAACAGUUGGAAACGACUGCUAAUACCGCAUACGCCCUACGGGGGAAAGCGGGGGACCUUCGGGCCUUGCGCGAUUGGAUAUGCCCAGGUGGGAUUAGCUAGUUGGUGAGGUAAUGGCUCACCAAGGCGACGAUCCCUAGCUGGUCUGGGAGGAUGAUCAGCCACACUGGAACUGAGACACGGUCCAGACUCCUACGGGAGGCAGCAGUGGGGAAUAUUGCACAAUGGGGGAAACCCUGAUGCAGCCAUGCCGCGUGUGUGAAGAAGGCCUUCGGGUUGUAAAGCACUUUCAGCGAGGAGGAAAGGUUGAUGCCUAAUACGUAUCAACUGUGACGUUACUCGCAGAAGAAGCACCGGCUAACUCCGUGCCAGCCGCCGCCGUAAUAC
rnacentral:rRNA from 1 species